CCUACGGGAGGCAGCAGUGAGGAAUAUUGGUCAAUGGACGCAAGCCUGAACCAGCCAUGCCGCGUGCAGGAAGACGGCUCUCUGAGUUGUAAACUGCUUUUGUAGGAGGGUAAACGCAGAUACGCGUAUCUGUCUGACCGUAUCGCACGAAUUAGGAACGGCCAACUCCGUGCCAGCAGCAGCGGUAAUACGGAGGUUUCAAGCGUUAACCGGAUUUAUUGGGUUUAAAGGGUGCGUAGGCGGGCGGAUAAGUUAGAGGUGAAAUCCCGAGGCUCAACUUCGGAAUUGCCUCGGAUACUGUGCGGCUAGAGAGUAGGAGAGGUAAGCGGAAUGUAUGGUGUAGCGGUGAAAUGCGUAGAGAUAAGACAGAACACCGGUGGCGAAGGCAGCUUACCGGGCUACAUCUGACGUUGAGGCACGAAAGCGUGGGGAGCAAACAGGAUUAGAUACCCGAGUAGUC
rnacentral:rRNA from 1 species